rnacentral:rRNA from 1 species
ACACUCCUACGGGAGGCAGCAGUAGGGAAUCUUCGGCAAUGGGGGCAACCCUGACCGAGCAACGCCGCGUGAGUGAAGAAGGUUUUCGGAUCGUAAAGCUCUGUUGUAAGUCAAGAACGAGUGUGAGAGUGGAAAGUUCACACUGUGACGGUAGCUUACCAGAAAGGGACGGCUAACUACGUGCCAGCAGCCGCGGUAAUACGUAGGUCCCGAGCGUUGUCCGGAUUUAUUGGGCGUAAAGCGAGCGCAGGCGGUUUGAUAAGUCUGAAGUUAAAGGCUGUGGCUCAACCAUAGUUCGCUUUGGAAACUGUCAAACUUGAGUGCAGAAGGGGAGAGUGGAAUUCCAUGUGUAGCGGUGAAAUGCGUAGAUAUAUGGAGGAACACCGGUGGCGAAAGCGGCUCUCUGGUCUGUAACUGACGCUGAGGCUCGAAAGCGUGGGGAGCGAACAGGAUUAGAAACCCGGGUAGUCCCAUGAU